AUGAAUUGUACCUGCUGUAUCUAUUGUACCUGUUGUAUCUAUUGUAUCUAUUGUACCUGUUGUAUCUAUUGUAUCUAUUGUACCUGCUGUACCUAUUGUACCUGCUGUACCUAUUGUACCUGCUGUAUCUAUUGUACCUGUUGUACCUGCUGUAUCUAUUGUACCUGUUGUAUCUAUUGUACCUGCUGUAUCUAUUGUACCUGCUGUAUCUAUUGUACCUGCUGUAUCUAUUGUACCUGUUGUACCUGCUGUAUCUAUUGUACCUGUUGUAUCUAUUGUACCUGCUGUAUCUAUUGUACCUGUUGUACCUAUUGUACCUGCUGUAUCUAUUGUACCUGUUGUACCUGCUGUAUCUAUUGUACCUGCUGUAUCUAUUGUACCUGCUAUAUCUAUUGUACCUGUUGUACCUAUUGUACCUGUUGUAUCUAUUGUACCUAUUGUACCUAUUGUACCUGCUGUAUCUAUUGUACCUGCUGUAUCUAUUGUAUCUAUUGUACCUGUUGUAUCUAUUGUACCUGUUGUACCUGCUGUACCUGUUGUACCUGCUGUAUCUAUUGUACCUGUUGUAUCUAUUGUACCUGUUGUACCUGCUGUACCUGUUGUACCUGCUGUACCUAUUGUACCUGCUGUACCUGUUGUACCUGUUGUACCUGUUGUAUCUAUUGUAUCUAUUGUACCUGCUGUACCUAUUGUACCUGCUGUACCUAUUGUACCUGCUGUAUCUAUUGUACCUGUUGUACCUGCUGUAUCUAUUGUAUCUAUUGUACCUGCUGUACCUAUUGUACCUGCUGUAUCUAUUGUACCUGCUGUACCUAUUGUACCUGCUGUAUCUAUUGUACCUGCUGUAUCUAUUGUACCUGUUGUACCUGCUGUAUCUAUUGUACCUGCUGUACCUAUUGUACCUGCUGUAUCUAUUGUACCUGUUGUACCUAUUGUACCUGCUGUAUCUAUUGUACCUGUUGUACCUGUUGUACCUGCUGUAUCUAUUGUAUCUAUUGUACCUGCUGUACCUAUUGUAUCUAUUGUACCUGCUGUAUCUAUUGUACCUGCUGUACCUGCUGUAUCUAUUGUACCUGCUGUAUCUAUUGUACCUGCUGUAUCUAUUUAUUUUAUUUUAUAUUUCUUAUAUUUUAUAUUUACAUUAGUUUAUAUUUUCAUUGUACACGUCAAACCUGUUCUGUACCUCCAGGGUUAGCAUAUUUACAAGUAAUGUUAGCUACCUGUUGGAAUCUCUCAGACAUUUAG
rnacentral:lncRNA from 15 species